rnacentral:rRNA from 1 species
UACGAAGGGUGCAAGCGUUGUUCGGAAUUAUUGGGCGUAAUGCGCGUGUAGGCGGCUUUGCAAGUCGGGUGUGAAAGCCCUCGGCUCAACCGAGGAAGUGCGCCCGAAACUGCAGAGCUUGAGUACCGGAGAGGAUGGCGGAAUUCCCCAAGUAGAGGUGAAAUUCGUAGAUAUGGGGAGGAACACCGGUGGCGAAGGCGGCCAUCUGGACGGAUACUGACGCUGAGACGCGAAAGCGUGGGGAGCAAACAGG